GAUGAAGAACGCAGCGAAAUGCGAUAAGUAAUGUGAAUUGCAGAAUUCAGUGAAUCAUCGAAUCUUUGAACGCACAUUGCGCCCGCCAGUAUUCUGGCGGGCAUGCCUGUCUGAGCGUCAUUUCAACCCUCAUGCCCCUAGGGCGUGGUGUUGGGGAUCGGCCAAAGCCCGCGAGGGACGGCCGGCCCCUAAACCUAGUGGCGGACCCGUCGUGGCCUCCUCUGCGAAGUAGUGAUAUUCCGCAUCGGAGAGCGAUGAGCCCCUGCCGUUAAACCCCCAACUUUCCAAGGUUGACCUCAGAUCAGGUAGGAAUACCCGCUGAACUUAAGCAUAUCAAUAAGCGGAGGA
rnacentral:misc_RNA from 1 species